GAUUUAGGGGUGGGAGGGCUGGAGUUUCAACUAGAGUUAGGGAUAAAAGGGCUGGAGGUAGGGCUACAUUUCGACCACCUAGGAGGACUGCAAGAGAUACAUUUGCUGGUAGUGGGAGGAUUGGACCUAGUUCAUCUGCUAAUUAAGGAUUUCAAUAUGUUGUAAGUAGUGUUGCUUGGGGCUGUAAGUGAUAGGCGUCUCAAUUUUGGAUGUAAACAAUGUUGGUUUUGCCACU
rnacentral:lncRNA from 1 species